GACCUGCGGAGGAUCAUUAGUGAAUAUAGGACGUCCAACUUAACUUGGAGUCCGAACUCUCACUUUCUAACCCUGUGCACUUGUUUGGGAUAGUAACUCUCGCAAGAGAGCGAACUCCUAUUCACUUAUAAACACAAAGUCUAUGAAUGUAUUAAAUUUUAUAACAAAAUAAAACUUUCAACAACGGAUCUCUUGGCUCUCGCAUCGAUGAAGAACGCAGCGAAAUGCGAUAAGUAAUGUGAAUUGCAGAAUUCAGUGAAUCAUCGAAUCUUUGAACGCACCUUGCGCUCCAUGGUAUUCCGUGGAGCAUGCCUGUUUGAGUGUCAUGAAUACUUCAACCCUCCUCUUUCUUAAUGAUUGAAGAGGUGUUUGGUUUCUGAGCGCUGCUGGCCUUUACGGUCUAGCUCGUUCGUAAUGCAUCAGCAUCCGCAAUCGAACUUCGGAUUGACUUGGCGUAAUAGACUAUUCGCUGAGGAAUUCUAGUCUUCGGACUAGAGCCGGGUUGGGUUAAAGGAAGCUUCUAAUCAGAAUGUCUACAUUUUAAGAUUAGAUCUCAAAUCAGGUAGGACUACCCGCUGAACUUAAGCAUAUCAAUAAGCGGAGGAA
rnacentral:rRNA from 1 species